rnacentral:rRNA from 1 species
CUACGGAGGGUGCAAGCGUUAUUCGGAAUCACUGGGCGUAAAGGACGCGUAGGCGGGUUGGCAAGUCAGAUGUGAGAUCCUACAGCUUAACUGUAGAACUGCAUUUGAAACUGCUAACCUAGAGUAUGGGAGGGGGAGAUGGAAUUAGUGGUGUAGGGGUAAAAUCCGUAGAUAUCACUAGGAAUACCGAAAGCGAAGGCGAUCUCCUGGAACAUAACUGACGCUAAGGCGUGAAAGCGUGGGGAGCAAACAGGAUUAGAAACCCUAGUAGUCC